UUACUAGAGUAGCACUCGCAUAUCAAUAAGCGGAGGAAAAGAAACUAACAAGGAUUCCCCUAGUAACGGCGAGUGAAGCGGGAAGAGCUCAAAUUUGAAAUCUUAAAGGGUUUCCCUUUACGAAUUGUAGUUUAAAGAAGUGUUUUCUGUUGAGGUUUUGGUAAAAGUUCUUUGGAAUAGGACAUCAUAGAGGGUGAGAAUCCCGUAUUUGACCUUUACUUUCAACUUUGUGAUACACUUUCAAAGAGUCGGAUUGUUUGGGAAUGCAGUCCAAAAUGGGUGGUAAAUUUCAUCUAAAGCUAAAUAUUGGCGAGAGACCGAUAGCGAACAAGUACCGUGAGGGAAAGAUGAAAAGAACUUUGAAAAGAGAGUUAAACAGUACGUGAAAUUGUCAAAAGGGAAGCGUUUGACACCAGUGUUGUUUUUCUGAAAAUCAAUUAAAGAACUGUUUAUGCUAAGUUGUUUAGACUUUAUCAGCUAACUGUUUAGUUUUGAGCUUUUCUUUAAUGCACUUUUCAGUUAACAAGUCAACAUCAAUUUCUUUUGCUGUAAAAAAGCUUGAGGAAGGUGGCUUGAGAUUCGUCUUAAGUGUUUAUAGCCUCUUGCCUAUGCAGUCGGAGAGAUUGAGGUCUGCAGCGUAGAUCCUUCGGGGCUAAAUGCAUUUGUGCUAAGUUAUAACAUUUUAUAGACAACUUGUUGACUAUGAUUUGUCUUGUAGCUUACUCGCUUAUGUUAUUUUACCUACGCUUAGGAUGUUGAGUCAUCACACAUCUCU
rnacentral:rRNA from 1 species